AACGAACGCUGGCGGCGUGCCUAACACAUGCAAGUCGAGGGAGAAAGGGAGCUUCGGCUCCCGAGUAAACCGGCGCACGGGUGAGUAAUACGUAGGUAACGUACCUUCGAGUCUGGGAUAACCGGUCGAAAGACUGGCUAAUACCGGAUACGACCGAGGGGGCUUCGGCUCUCACGGUGAAAGAUGGCCUCUGCUUGCACGCUAUCACUCGAGGAGCGGCCUGCGCACCAUUAGCAGUUGGUGAGGUAACGGCUCACCAAGGCUGAGAUGGUUAGCUGGUCUGAGAGGAUGGCCAGCCACACUGGGACUGAGACACGGCCCAGACUCCUACGGGAGGCAGCAGUGGGGGAAUAUUGCGCAAUGGGCGAAAGCCUGACGCAGCGACGCCGCGUGAGGGAUGACGGCCU
rnacentral:rRNA from 1 species